rnacentral:misc_RNA from 1 species
GAUGAAGAACGUAGCGAAAUGCGAUAAGUAAUGUGAAUUGCAGAAUUCAGUGAAUCAUCGAAUCUUUGAACGCACAUUGCGCCCGCCAGUAUUCUGGCGGGCAUGCCUGUUCGAGCGUCAUUUCAACCCUCAAGCCCCCGGGCUUGGUGUUGGGGAUCGGCGUGCCCUCGCGGCGCGCCGUCCCCUAAAUCUAGUGGCGGUCUCGCUGUAGCUUCCUCUGCGUAGUAGCAACACUCGCACUGGAGCGCAGCGCGGCCACGCCGUUAAACCCCCCACUUCUGAAAGUUUGACCUCGGAUCAGGUAGGAAUACCCGCUGAACUUAAGCAUAUCAAUAAGCGGAGGA